AUAUUUAAAAAGAUAUUUUUAAACUAAAACUGACCGCCGCUGGUCCCCAAAUCUUCAGACAAAGAAGAUAUCAAGUACAGCUUAUUCUAAAGAGAAUUGCAAGAUGAGAGGCAGAUACUUGCUCCAGGUUUUAUGAAGAGGCCGGCAGACCCUGAUCACCAAAAAGUAGGGUACCCCUCCUCCCACCCCACCCCACACACCCCCAAUACCACAUGGACAUGUCCACCCAAGUUCUCCCACUUCAAUUGCAUUGAACUCUUUGGCAUCCUUGAGAGAGGCACAGUUGUUAGCCCAGGUUGCAGAUGAGGAAACAAUCUCAGUGGGGUUACGUGCCUCCUCCAUGUCUCACAGCGAAUCCUGGAUGGGGCAGGAUUUGCACACAGGACUGUCACUGUUGACUGCACAGCAAACAUGUGCAAACCUCUCCCUGCAGCGUGCUUCUGUCUAAUGCCUCUCAAGUCGUCUCUCCUAAAGCAAUUUUGGUUGGCCAGUGGGGUGCUCUGAGGCCACAGCCCUUGGUGCCAUUCUUGGGGGAUCCAUCCCUUACUUCUAGCCUGGAUCCUGGAGUCUCACCCUGAAAUUUUGUUCUGAUCCUUGUAUGUGGUGUCAAAACUCUGUAGAGGUCACUUCCACAAACACCCUGACACCUAAUAUCCAUGCAGACUGAUUAAUUAACUGAAGUUUUUGUAGAGGGGCUAGUUGGGCAAGGUGACCUUAAGUUUUCACCCCAUUUUGAGAUGCAGAUUCUGUGAAUUAGAAGUCUGUGAGAAAACAAACAAAAUCAGUCAGGGUGCAGUGGUUCAUGCCUGUAAUCCCAGCACGCUGGGAGGUGGAGGUGGGUGGGUCACCUGAGGUCAGGAGUUUGAGACCAGCCUGGUCAAUAUGAUGAAACCCUGUCUCUACUGAAAGUACAAAAACUAGUGGGGCAUGGUGGCGGGCGCCUGUAAUAGCAGCUACUCAGGAGGCUGAGGCAGAAGAAUCGCUUGAACCUCGGAGGCAGAGGUUGCAGUGAGCCGAGAUGGUGCCACUGCACCCCAGCCUGGGCAACAGAGUGAGACUCCAUCUCAAAAACAACAAUAAUAACAAACCAAAAAACAAAAUCAGAAGGAAGCACAGAAAUCUAGAGUGGGUAAGGAAGGCUGGGCAGCUUUUUACGCCUCCUCAGGUGUUCGUCAACUGAAAAGAAU
rnacentral:lncRNA from 10 species